rnacentral:rRNA from 1 species
UACGUAGGUGGCAAGCGUUGUCCGGAAUUAUUGGGCGUAAAGCGCGCGCAGGCGGUCUCUUAAGUCUGAUGUGAAAGCCCACGGCUCAACCGUGGAGGGUCAUUGGAAACUGGGGGACUUGAGUACAGGAGAGGAGAGUGGAAUUCCACGUGUAGCGGUGAAAUGCGUAGAGAUGUGGAGGAACACCAGUGGCGAAGGCGGCUCUCUGGCCAGUAACUGACGCUGAGGCGCGAAAGCGUGGGGAGCGAACAGGAUUAGAAACCCCCGUAGUCC